rnacentral:lncRNA from 1 species
GUGAGUGAAACAUGUAUUGGGUAUUGGAAUCUACUAGCUUUAAUGGCCACGUUUGACCAAAUCCUAACGAUGAAAGUGAAUGAGCUGCGACUAUUCCUUGUGGAGAAUUUGAAGUCUCCGUCCGCUGCCUCCCAUAAUGGAUACCCACAGUUCAUGAAGGUGUUUUUGAAGGAAUCCAGAAUGACAGUGGCCUCCAACUUCAAAUCCACGCCAUCAACAUCUGCAACCUCUCUUCUUCUUUUUCUACUUCUCGGUGGUGC